rnacentral:sRNA from 1 species
UCCCGGCCGGUGCCAGGGAAUCAGGGUUGCGGGGCGGCCAGACACCCCCUGACGACUCCCUCCGCCCAGAUGGAGCGGGUGGUCGUGAGCAUGCAGGACCCCGACCAGGGCGUGAAGAUGCGGAGCCAGCGCCUGCUGGUCACCGUCAUUCCCCACGCGGUGACAGGUGAGGCGCGCCGGGGCGGGGGUGCGUGCGCGCCUCGGCCUCCCUCCACCUCUGUCUCUCCCGUGCAGGCAGCGACGUCGUGCAGUGGUUGGCCCAGAAGUUCUGCGUCUCGGAGGAGGAGGCCCUGCACCUGGGCACCGUCCUGGUGCAGCAUGGCUACAUCUACCCGCUGCGCGACCCCCGUAGCCUCAUGCUCCGGCCAGAUGAGACGCCCUACAGGUUCCAGGUCAGGCUCGGGGGUGCAGGUGGGAGCCGGUGGGACC